AACAAGUUUCGUUUAUUUAUUGUUUACAAUUGCUGCAACUGUCAAAUUGAGUAAGCAGCCAAUUCCAUGGAAAUUAUUAAAGCUAAAAUGUCUUUUUGUCCUAAGAUAAGAUUAUAAAUCGAGAUUUCACAUAUGCACCGGGCAUAAUUUCAAUAUUGGAAAAACUUCAUUGCCGCUAGAAGAAGAAGGCAAUGGUAAAGCUUAUGGAGAAAAUUCUGAUCUAUCUACUCAAAAUAACAGCACAGUUCGCGAUAUAAAACCUAACAAUCUUGACUUUUCUCCUCAAGUUCCUAAUGUCUCUUCAAAUUAUCCGAGUCCAUAUCCUGGCUAUUAUCCUCCGCCUGGAACGCCUUCUCAACCUCCAUACACACCUCCAACUCAACCUAUUCCUCCUCAAGGACCAUCGGCAUCUUCAUACGGUUUACCAGGACCUGCACCAACUGCUCAACCUUCAUCCACAGCAACUGGUCCAUCUCGUAAUUUAGAUCCAGAAGCUUUAAUGAAAGCCCAGAAGUAUUGCAAAUAUGCUGGAAGUGCUCUCCAGUUCGAAGAUGUAAACACCGCAGUGACAAAUCUAGAAAGCAAUUCAGAUUCGUUGACAUCACAAAGUAAUAUUUUAAACAAAAGAUGUCAAUAAAAUUUCAUUAAAAUUUGAGUAUUUUCCUGCAAAUCUUUUCCUGCAAAUCUAGUACUGCAUUAAAAAAUUGGCGGAAAGCGAAUAAAUAUUAUGGGAUUCAAUAAAAAAUUGCAUCUAAUAAAGUUUCGUCUGUUGUUCA